rnacentral:rRNA from 1 species
GAUGAACGCUGGCGGCGUGCCUAAUACAUGCAAGUCGAGCGAAUGACGAGGAGCUUGCUCCUCUGAUUUAGCGGCGGACGGGUGAGUAACACGUGGGUAACCUGCCUGUAAGACGGGGAUAACUCCGGGAAACCGGAGCUAAUACCGGAUGAUAACGAGAAGCGCCUGCUUCUUUUUUGAAAGUCGGUUUCGGCUGACGCUUACAGAUGGGCCCGCGGCGCAUUAGCUAGUUGGUGAGGUAACGGCUCACCAAGGCGACGAUGCGUAGCCGACCUGAGAGGGUGAUCAGCCACACUGGGACUGAGACACGGCCCAGACUCCUACGGGAGGCAGCAGUAGGAAAUCUUCGGCAAUGGACGAAAGUCUGACCGAGCAACGCCGCGUGAGCGAUGAAGGCCUUCGGGUCGUAAAGCUCUGUUGUCAGAGAAGAACAAGUACCGGAGUAACUGCCGGUACCUUGACGGUACCUGACCAGAAAGCCACGGCUAACUACGUGCCAGCAGCCGCGGUAA